CGUGGGGAGCAAACAAGAUUAGAUACCUGGUAGUUCACGCUGUAAACGAUGUCGAUUGGAGUUUGUUGCCUAGAGUGAUGGGCUCCGAAGCUAACGCGAUAAAUCGACCGCCUGGGGAGUACGGCCGCAAGGUUAAAACUCAAAUGAAUUGACGGGGGCCCGCACAAGCGGUGGAGCAUGUGGUUUAAUUCGAUGCAACGCGAAGAACCUUACCUGGUCUUGACAUCCAUAGAAUUCUGCAGAGAUGUGGGAGUGCCUUCGGGAACUAUGAGACAGGUGCUGCAUGGCUGUCGUCAGCUCGUGUUGUGAAAUGUUGGGUUAAGUCCCGCAACGAGCGCAACCCUUAUUCUUCGUUGCCAGCGAUUUGGUCGGGAACUCAAAGGAGACUGCCGUUGAUAAAGCGGAGGAAGGUGGGGACGACGUCAAGUCAUCAUGGCCCUUACGACCAGGGCUACACACGUGCUACAAUGGCGUAUACAAAGGGAAGCGAAGGUGCGAGCUGGAGCGGAUCUCAUAAAGUACGUCUAAGUUCGGAUUGGAGUCUGCAACUCGACUCCAUGAAGUCGGAAUCGCUAGUAAUCGUAGAUCAGAAUGCUACGGUGAAUACGUUCCCGGGCCUUGUACACACCGCCCGUCACACCAUGGGAGUGGGUUGCACCAGAAGUAGAUAGCUUAACCGCGAGGGGGGCGUUUACCACGGUGUGAUUCAUGACUGGGGUGAAGUCGUAACAAGGUAACCA
rnacentral:rRNA from 1 species